ensembl:miRNA
CCCGAGCGGUAACCCAGGAGCGGAGGCGAAGAGAUCUCGCAGGCGGCCGGCUGUGAGGAUUGACAGCUGGCUUUCUGGAAAAUCGCAGCCCCGGCUCCUUCGACCCCUCCCCCAUUUCCUGAGCC